CUUCCCUUGUGCCCUCCAUACUCCUCUCCUCUCCCACUCCUUUCCUCUCCCACUACUUUGCUUGUUUUCUUCUUUUCUAAAUUAUCUUCUCAUCUCUAAAUUCACUCAUCUUCUCUCCUACUACUCUCUUCUCUUCUCUUUCAUUUAAAUGGAGUACUCCACACAAGCAAAUGAAACUUUUGAAUUACACAUACAAGUCUCACAAAAUGGAGAAAAAAUAUAUGGAGUAAAAAUGAUCACAAAAUGGAGUUACACAUACAAGUCUCACAAAAUGGAGAAAAAAUAUAUGGAGUAAAAAUGAUCACAAAAUGGAGUUACACAUACAAGUCUCACAAAAUGGAGUAAAAUAGGUUCCUGGAGUACUGAACAGUUUCAGAAUACUCCCUGUUGUACUGAAAGUUUCAGCAACUGUACAUUGGAUUUAAAUUUUUAUUCCAGAGUUGAAAGCCAAGAACACAAAUUAUGCUACUCCAGUACUAACACAAGGAGUACAAGCAUUUCACUCAAGCAAAAUUGCACUAACAGAGCACUACUCACAUUCCUCUCUUGCCUGUUGCUACUACUGCAAGCACUAACAGAGUACAGCAAGCAUCACAGCCAACAAGCAAAAUUCCAGAUGCAAAUCUUGCUGGAGUGCUUCACUUUUCAUAGCUGCACAGAAUAAAAAAACAGUUUCAGUAGCAGCAAACAAACUAAGACUAGCACAUAAACUUGCUGAUGUACUCCACUUUUCUUUUCUUUUCAGUUAACAAAGAAUUAAGCACACUCACUCGCAAAAUUAUUCCUAACAGAGCACUACUGACAUUAACAAAGGGAGGCACAGCCUGAAUAUAUGUCACUACACUUGACGUCUUGAUUUGCCAGUGGAAUCAGAAUCAAAUCAGAUAUGUCAAACACAUAUGUCAAACAGCAUAUGGACUUAUCAUGCUGGUUUUUGGAUGAUUUAGUUAAUCAAAUUGACAUCAAUUGACCUGUUUUUUGGAUCAACUGCAGAUUCUCUUGAUUGGAGUGGAGAGGAGCAGCAGAAGUGGACAGCGCAGCGGCUGACCUCGAGCUCUUGAUUGGAGUGGGGGGAGGCGGCCGGCGAAGGAUCUGUGACCAGCAGCGAAGGAUCCGAAGCUGUGGUGGAGCAGGCAGCCGGAGGGAAGGGCACCGGCGAGGGAGCUGCGGACCGCAGCGGGGAAGGGCGGCCGAUGAGGGAGCUGCGGACCACGGCGGGGAAGGGCGGCCGGCCGGCGAGGGAGCUGCGGACCGCGGCGGGGAAGGACGCCGGAGAUGUGGACGACGGAGGAGCCCGACGAAAGGGAGCAGCGACGGCGGAGAAGCCUGGCGGAGGGGAGGAGUGACGGAGGAAGACGCCUCCCGAUCGAUUUCAAAUCUGGGGUAGUAUCGUACUUUCACACUGUUUCACCUGGUCGGAACGAUACCCCCAGCGACAAUUAUUUCGGAACGGAGGGAGUACUAUACUAACUAAGCACAAACAUAUUAGUUUGGAAACAAAUAUAUAGUUUCAUGGAAGCCUGGAAAUUUUAAAUCAUGUCGAUAACUAAUAUUACUGCCAACAUUGGGAAUCAGAUUAUUGUGAUCUGCAUAAGAAAUGAACCAAAAUUCGUAGAUGGCAUAGUGAUCCAUUGCACAUCGGGUAUAACAUAGAUGCACUCAACAAAUUUAAUCGAAGCAAGCAUUGCAUCCAAAGUAAUGCAAAAUCAAAUCAAGUGACGAACCAAGGAAGAGAUGGAUCGAACCCUAGGUCAUGUCUGUACAUACCGGGGGGCUGGGAUUCGCACGCAGCUUCUUUGCCGAGCCGAUGUGGUGCACCAACGAGGUAGGAGGGAUGGUGAAGGGGCAGGGCCAGCCGGGGGGAGAUCAGGAAUUCGCACGGUGCUUCUUUGCCGAGCAGGUCAUGCGGUAUGUAUUGAGAUCAGGGAUCGAUGGAGAAGGGAUAAGAGGCUGCACUGGCGAGGUGGAGUAGUUGUAGUCAUCACGAGCUUUUGGUGCAGACGAGGCUGGUGGUGGAUGCAUCCGUCGCCAUGAGCGAGCUCGGCGAGCUCGGGGAUAAGCUCGCCCGUGGAAUUCGAGAUGGGGUGGGGUGGGUGGAUUUGGCAGGCGAGAUUUACUCGCCCUUGAUAUGGCAAGGUCGUUGGUACGAUUCAAUCAGGCGAAAUUUACUCGGGCUGCUAAAAUUGUGGGGUAACUUUUUUUUUGAAGGGUAAUUGACGGCAUGGGAGAUUCGCGUCAAAUAUGAAGUGAGAUUAGAAUAUAAUCAACGACGCCGGACGCGUCUGACGAAAGCUUUCUAUCAGACUUCUGAUAGAAA
rnacentral:lncRNA from 1 species